UACAGAGGGUGCGAGCGUUGUUCGGAAUUAUUGGGCGUAAAGGGCGCGUAGGCGGUGCCACAAGUCACUUGUGAAAUCCCCGGGCUUAACUCGGGGCCUGCAGGCGAAACUGUGGUGCUGGAGUAUGGGAGAGGUGCGUGGAAUUCCCGGUGUAGCGGUGAAAUGCGUAGAUAUCUGGAGGAACACCCGUGGUGAAGACGGCUUGCUGGGCCGUGACUGACGCUGAGGCACGAAAGCGUGGGUAGCAAAAGGG
rnacentral:rRNA from 1 species